UACGGGGGGAGCAAGCGUUGUUCGGAUUUACUGGGCGUAAAGGGCGCGUAGGCGGCCAGCACAAGUCAGUUGUGAAAUCUCCGAGCUUAACUCGGAACGGUCAACUGAUACUGUGCGGCUAGAGUGCGGAAGGGGCAACUGGAAUUCUUGGUGUAGCGGUGAAAUGCGUAGAUAUCAAGAGGAACACCUGCGGCGAAGGCGGGUUGCUGGGCCGACACUGACGCUGAGGCGCGAAAGCCCAGGGGAGCGAACGGG
rnacentral:rRNA from 1 species